CUACGGGAGGCUCCAGUCGGGGAUUUUUUGCAAUGCACGAAAGUGUGACAAAGCGAGCCAGAGUGUUUCUCUAUUUUGAGAAACUUUUGUUAGCUGUAAAAAGGCUGACGAAUAAGGACUGGGCAAGACUGGUGCCAGCCGCCGCGGUAAUCCCAGCGGUCCAAGUUGUAGCCAUUUUUAUUGGGUCUAAAACAUCCGUAGCUUGUGAUGUAAGUCUCUUGUGAAAUUUAAUCUCUCAAAGAUUAAGCGGGCAAGGGAUACUGCAUUGCUAGAGACUGGAGGAUGUGAAGAGUACGGUUAAGGUAGUGGUAAAAUACGUUGAUCUUAAUUGGACUAACAAUAGCGAAGGCACUUCACAAUUACAGUUCUGACAGUGAGGGAUGAAGGCUAGGGGCGCAAAACGGAUUAGAUACCCGCGUAGUC
rnacentral:rRNA from 1 species